CUACGGGGCGCAGCAGUGAGGAAUAUUGCACAAUGGGGGAAACCCUGAUGCAGCAACGCCGCGUGGAGGAUGACGCAUUUCGGUGUGUAAACUCCUUUUAUCAGAGAAGAAAAUGACGGUAUCUGAUGAAUAAGCUCCGGCUAACUCCGUGCCAGCAGCCGCGGUAAUACGGAGGGAGCAAGCGUUAUUCGGAAUCACUGGGCGUAAAGGACGCGUAGGCGGGUUUUUAAGUCAGGUGUGAAAUCCUAUGGCUCAACCAUAGAACUGCACUUGAAACUGGGGACCUAGAGUAUGGAAGGGGCAGGUGGAAUUAGUGGUGUAGGGGUAAAAUCCGUAGAUAUCACUAGGAAUACCGAAAGCGAAGGCGACCUGCUGGGACAUUACUGACGCUGAGGCGUGAAAGCGUGGGGAGCAAACAGGAUUAGAUACUCUGGUAGUC
rnacentral:rRNA from 1 species